GCUGCUGUGGUCUAGCGGUAUGAUGUUCGUUUCCCACCGAGUGUGUAACUCGGAAUUUGCGGACGAUCCGGGUUCGACUCCCGGCGGCAGCA
rfam:Dactylellina haptotyla CBS 200.50 unplaced genomic scaffold scaffold00172, whole genome shotgun sequence.